UUUAAUAUAGCAGAUUAGUGCGAUGAAUUUAAGAUUCAUAUAUGAAAUUAUAUUUUUCGUUAAAA
rnacentral:tRNA from 1 species